rnacentral:rRNA from 1 species
UACGUAGGCAGCGAGCGUUGUUCGGAGUUACUGGGCGUAAAGCGCACGUAGGCGGAUGUGUCAGUCAGGGGUGAAAUCCCGGAGCUCAACUUCGGAACUGCCCUUGAUACAGCACGUCUUGAGUCCGGAAGAGGUGGGUGGAAUUCCUAGUGUAGAGGUGAAAUUCGUAGAUAUUAGGAAGAACACCGGUGGCGAAGGCGGCCCACUGGUCCGGUACUGACGCUGAGGUGCGAAAGCGUGGGGAGCAAACAGG